rnacentral:tRNA from 1 species
GGUGUGUUGCGACGAAUUGGUAAGUCAACGGACUGUAAAUCCGCCGCCUCUGGCAUCUUGGUUCAAAUCCAAGACACACCACCA